rnacentral:rRNA from 1 species
AUGUCGACGCCGAAGAGGCGGACGAGGGCAAUGUCGACGCCGAAGAGGCGGACGAAGCCACGAAUCCCAUUCCCUUGCUCCGGCAUAGCCAUGCCCGGAGCGGAGCUGCUGACGUUAGCAGGAGGGGCACGGGAUGACGAGCCCGGAGCGGAGCUGCUGAUGUUAGCAGGAGGGGCGGAGCUGCUGAUGUCAACAGGAAGGGCACAUAAUGAGGAGCCCGGAGCGGAGCUGCUAAUGUUAACAGGAAGGGCACGGGAUGAGGAGCCCGGAGCGGAGCUGCUGAUGUUAGCAGGAGGGGCGGAGCUGCUAAUCCCGAAGAGGAGCUGA